GAUGAACGCUGGCGGCGUGCUUAACACAUGCAAGUCGAGCGAAGCACUUAGGAAGGAUUCUUCGGAUGAUUUCCUAUUUGACUGAGCGGCGGACGGGUGAGUAACGCGUGGGUAACCUGCCUCAUACAGGGGGAUAACAGUUAGAAAUGACUGCUAAUACCGCAUAAGACCACAGCACCGCAUGGUGCAGGGGUAAAAACUCCGGUGGUAUGAGAUGGACCCGCGUCUGAUUAGUUAGUUGGUGGGGUAACGGCCUACCAAGGCGACGAUCAGUGGCCGACCUGAGAGGGUGACCGGCCACAUUGGGACUGAGACACGGCCCAAACUCCUACGGGAGGCAGCAGUGGGGAAUAUUGCACAAUGGGGGAAACCCUGAUGCAGCGACGCCGCGUGAGCGAAGAAGUAUUUCGGUAUGUAAAGCUCUAUCAGCAGGGAAGAAAAUGACGGUACCUGACUAAGAAGCCCCGGCUAACUACGUGCCAGCCGCCGCCGUAA
rnacentral:rRNA from 1 species